UACGUAGGGGGCAAGCGUUGUCCGGAUUUAUUGGGCGUAAAGAGCGUGUAGGCGGCCAGGUAGGUCCGUUGUGAAAACUCGAGGCUCAACCUCGAGACGUCGGCGGAAACCCUCUGGCUAGAGUCCGGAAGAGGAGAGUGGAAUUCCUGGUGUAGCGGUGAAAUGCGCAGAUAUCAGGAAGAACACCCGUGGCGAAGGCGGCUCUCUGGGGACGGUACUGACGCUGAGACGCGAAAGCGUGGGGAGCGAACAGGG
rnacentral:rRNA from 1 species